AGAAGGUCUCGAAUCCUGAAGACAGACUUCGAGGGGAUGAUGCAGCAAGAAGACCCACACCAGAUGAGGGCGCCUUGAUAUUGGAUUUCCCAGCCUCCAGAACUCAAAUAAAAAUGCAGUCUGGAUUUUAAGGGCCACACAGCAGCAAGAACUAAAACCUGGGUCUCCAAGGUCCAAGUCCAGGACUUCUCUAUGACACCCUACUGCAGCCCUUUGCUGGAUACCAUACAAAGCAAAUUGAGCAGAUGUGUUCUCUGCCCUCUGAAAGUUUGGACUCAAAUGGACAGCCACAAUUCUGGCAAAC
rnacentral:lncRNA from 10 species